CUGUUAGUCCUGGAGCCUGAAGUCCUAUAUUCACGAACAGAGAACAGGCAACAGCAUGCAAACUUUCCCUAUGCUGCCCGACCAAUAUGCCUGAACCCUGCCCUGGAGGGUCUAUCUCUAGCAGAGAGACCAUAGUUCAUUCUCCAUAAUCAGCUGGCGUUUGACCUCU
rnacentral:sRNA from 1 species